rnacentral:rRNA from 1 species
GACAGAGGGGGCAAGCGUUGUCCGGAUUUACUGGGCGUAAAGGGCGCGUAGGCGGUCAGCACAAGUCAGUUGUGAAAUCUCCGGGCUUAACUCGGAAAGGUCAACUGAUACUGUGCGACUAGAGUGCAGAAGGGGCAACUGGAAUUCUCGGUGUAGCGGUGAAAUGCGUAGAUAUCGAGAGGAACACCUGCGGCGAAGGCGGGUUGCUGGGCUGACACUGACGCUGAUGCGCGAAAGCCAGGGGAGCGAACGGG